AUCAGAGAGUCCAAAUCCUGCGCUCGUUGCAGACUUGCAGUGAGCCUCGCGCGGGGCAGUUGGAGAAGGAUACUCUUCUUUUCCGUCUCAGUUUGUUUCUUCGAAGUCAAAAAAAUGGCAAUAAUACUGGAUGAGCCAGUGGUAAAUUCAACAAUAUCUCCUCCAAACUCAUACGGUGCUGUAGUACUCGGCGGAACCUUUGACCGGUUACGCGACCGCCAUCGCCUUUUCCUCAAGUUCCCUCUUCUUACUCCUGUCUCUCUAUGACUCUCUAUUGAAAUAUUCUUUUCCGAUAUUCGAAUUUGUCUAUGGAGGUAGGCCGCGGCGGAGCUGUCAAUGGAUCGGAUUGUGGUUGGUGUCUGCGACAGUCCCAUGUUGACAAAAAAACAGGGUUUUUAGAAUCAGCCUCCCAAGGCCAAGAGUCCUCCAAUGUGAAAGAAAUAUUACAGCUAAACAAUGUGGCGCAGGAUUUAAAAGAUAUCUUUAUAGAAGCAUCAAAACGGGGGUCGUGUAGUAUAUGGUUAUGGGGAUCGAUCUUUCGGUUCCUAUAUUGACGGAGGCGCGCACCGUCUUUACGAUAUAACGGCUAUAAAAUUUGUGUACAAUGAAGAUUUGAAUUUAUUCAAAAUAUAUAUAAUGGGUGGAAGUUAACGGAAACAAUGAUCCCAAUUGAAUAGUCUCUCUGAAAAGUUUCUCUCACUCUAGCUUCUUACUGUUCAUAACCCACAAACACACACAGGGACGAAUAAAGGAGGAGGAGGAGAAGACGAAUCGUUGGAAAUUCGCAAGCUUUUGCGGAGCAGUCAUCGAUUUCUCUAAGGUUUACGAAAAUCCGGGUUCAACUUUUUUUCUUUUCGUGGUUGUCGUGGUUCUUAUUAGAUUGCACACUACUCUGUUUCGUCUUCCUGAAACCCUUUUGAUUGCGUCUCUUUUUGCAUGUUUUUCUUGAUGCCUUUUCGUUUCUGCGUGCUAUUCUUGAUGGUUUGUUUUUUGGUUUCAUUAAUGCGUGCUAUAUUUGAUUCCAUCCAGAUCUCUCGGAGAAUAUAUUUUAAAGAAAGCAAGAAUCUCAAGUGGUUGAUCCGAAUUUUGAAUUUGUUUCAGGAGCACUCAAUUUCUCACUAAGAGAGAGAAGGAAUUCAGAAGCUUUUGCAGAGCAGAGGCAUCAAUUUCUCCAAGGUUCACACAAGCCUAUCUUUAACUAUCUGUUUCAUCAUAAGUUUCAUGGUUUUCAUGGCUUCUAUUGUGUAGCACACGCUCUAUCUAAGUUUUGCUUGUUUUUCUUGAUGGGGUUCUCCUUUUUUUACUGUUCUUGAUGUGUAUCUCUUUUGUCUCAAAACCCUUGUCCCGUGACUAUGUUUUCUGUUCCAUAAUAAAGUCCAUAGAAAAUCGUGAAUCUUGA